AAUACAUGCAAGUCGUGCGGAAACACUUCGGGUGUCGAGCGGCGGACGGGUGAGUAACGCGUAAGAAUGUACCCCAGACUGAGGGAUAAGCGUCAGAAAUGGCGUCUAAUACCGCAUAACCUCUACGGAGAAAAGCUUCGGCGGUUUGGGAACAGCUUGCGUCCGAUUAGCUAGUUGGUAAGGUAAAAGCUUACCAAGGCGACAAUCGGUAGCUGGUUUGAGAGGAUGAUCAGCCACACUGGAACUGAGACACGGUCCAGACUCCUACGGGAGGCAGCAGUAGGGAAUCUUCCACAAUGGGCGAGAGCCUGAUGGAGCAACGCCGCGUGCAGGAUGAAGGCCUUCGGGUUGUAAACUGCUUUUUUCUAUGAUGAAUUUGACAGUAGUAGAGGAAUAAGCCUCGGCUAACUCCGUGCCAGCAGCCGCGGUCAUACGGAGGAGGCAAGCGUUAUUCGGAUUGACUGGGCGUAAAGAGAUGCGUANGCGGUUUGUUAAGCGUGUA
rnacentral:rRNA from 1 species